AUAACCCGCCGAAAGGCGGGCUAAUACCGCGUACGCUUCUGUUCCUUCGGGGACGGAAGGAAAGCUGUGCCGUGGGCAUGGCGCUCAAGGAUGGGCUCACGCCCUAUCAGCUUGUUGGUAGGGUAACGGCCUACCAAGGCAACGACGGGUAGCUGGUCUAAGAGGACGAUCAGCCACACUGGCACUGCGACACGGGCCAGACUCCUACGGGAGGCAGCAGUGAGGAAUAUUGCGCAAUGGGCGAAAGCCUGACGCAGCGACGCCGCGUGGGGGAUGAAGGUCUUCGGAUUGUAAACCCCUUUCAGGAGGGAAGAUGGAACGGGCAACCGUUCGGACGGUACCUCCAGAAGCAGCCACGGCUAACUUCGUGCCAGCAGCCGCGGUAAUACGAGGGUGGCAAGCGUUGUCCGGAUUUACUGGGCGUAAAGGGAGCGUAGGCGGUUGGGUAAGCCCUUUGGGAAAGCUCCCGGCUUAACCGGGAAAGGUCGAAGGGGACUGCCUGGCUAGAGGGUGGGAGAGGAGCGCGGAAUUCCCGGUGUAGCGGUGAAAUGCGUAGAGAUCGGGAGGAAGGCCGGUGGCGAAGGCGGCGCUCUGGAACAUUUC
rnacentral:rRNA from 1 species